rnacentral:rRNA from 1 species
UACGAAGGGGGGCUAGCGUUGCUCGGAAUCACUGGGCGUAAAGCGCACGUAGGCGGAUUGCUAAGUCAGGGGUGAAAUCCUGGAGCUCAACUCCAGAACUGCCCUUGAUACUGGCGAUCUCGAGUUCGGGAGAGGUGAGUGGAACUGCGAGUGUAGAGGUGAAAUUCGUAGAUAUUCGCAAGAACACCAGUGGCGAAGGCGGCUCACUGGCCCGAUACUGACGCUGAGGUGCGAAAGCGUGGGGAGCAAACAGG